UACGGAGGAUGCAAGCGUUAUCCGGAAUGAUUGGGCGUAAAGCGUCCGCAGGUGGCUAUGUAAGUCUGCUGUUAAAGAGUGAGGCUCAACCUCAUAAGAGCAGUGGAAACUACAUGGCUAGAGUGCGUUCGGGGCAGAGGGAAUUCCCAGUGUAGCGGUGAAAUGCGUAGAGAUUGGGAAGAACAUCGGUGGCGAAAGCGCUCUACUGGACCUCAUCUGACACUCAGGGACGAAAGCUAGGGGAGCGAAUGGG
rnacentral:rRNA from 1 species